rnacentral:rRNA from 1 species
UACGUAGGGGGCGAGCGUUGUCCGGAUUUAUUGGGCGUAAAGAGCUCGUAGGCGGUUCGAUAAGUCGGACGUGAAAUCUCCACGCUCAACGUGGAGGGGCCGUUCGAUACUGUCGUGACUCGAGUCCGGUAGGGGAGUGUGGAAUUCCCGGUGUAGCGGUGAAAUGCGCAGAGAUCGGGAGGAACACCCGUAGCGAAGGCGGCACUCUGGGCCGGUACUGACGCUGAGGCACGAAAGCGUGGGGAGCAAACAGG